AUUGAACGCUGGCGGCAUGCCUUACACAUGCAAGUCGAACGGCAGCAUGAUCUAGCUUGCUAGAUUGAUGGCGAGUGGCGAACGGGUGAGUAAUACAUCGGAACGUGCCCUGUAGUGGGGGAUAACUAGUCGAAAGAUUAGCUAAUACCGCAUACGACCUGAGGGUGAAAGUGGGGGACCGCAAGGCCUCAUGCUAUAGGAGCGGCCGAUGUCUGAUUAGCUAGUUGGUGAGGUAAAGGCUCACCAAGGCGACGAUCAGUAGCUGGUCUGGGAGGACGAUCAGCCACACUGGGACUGAGACACGGCCCAGACCCCUACGGGAGGCAGCAGUGGGGAAUUUUGGACAAUGGGGGCAACCCUGAUCCAGCAAUGCCGCGUGUGUGAAGAAGGCCUUCGGGUUGUAAAGCACUUUUGUCCGGAAAGAAAUCGCACUUACUAAUAUUAGGUGUGGAUGACGGUACCGGAAGAAUAAGGACCGGCUAACUACGUGCCAGCCGCCGCAGUAAGAC
rnacentral:rRNA from 1 species